UUCCGGUUGAUCCUGCCGGAGGCCAUUGCUAUCGGAGUCCGAUUUAGCCAUGCUAGUCGUGCGAGUUCAGACUCGCGGCACCGAGCUCAGUAACACGUGGCCAAACUACCCUACAGAGACGGAUACCCUCGGGAAACUGAGGUUAACCCGUCAUACCGAUCUCAGGCUUGAAUCGCAGAGAUCACAAAACGCCCCGGCGCUGUAGGAUGUGGCUGCGGUUGAUUAGGUAGACGGUGGGGUAACGGCCCACCGUGCCCAUAAUCAGUACAGGUUGUGAGAGCAAGAACCUGGAGACGGAAUCUGAGACAAGAUUCCGGGCCUACGGGGGCAGCAGGCGCGAAACCUUUACACUGCACGCACGUGCGAUAAGGGGACUCCGAGUGCGAGGGCAUAUCGUCCUCGCUUUCGUGUACCGUAGGGUGGUACACCAACAAGGGCUGGGCAAGACCGGUGCCAGCCGCCGCGGUAAUACCGGCAGCCCGAGUGAUGGCCGAUCUUAUUGGGCCUAAAGCGUCCGUAGCUGCUGCGCAAGUCCGUCGGGAAAUCCACUCGCCCAACGAGUGGGCGUCCGACGGAAACUGCACAGCUUGGGACCGGAAGGCUCGAAGGGUACGUUCGGGGUAGGAGUGAAAUCCCAUAAUCCCGCACGGACCACCGAUGGCGAAAGCACUUCGAGAAAACGGAUCCGACAGUGAGGGACGAAAGCUCGGGUCUCAAACCGGAUUAGAUACCCGGGUAGUCCGAGCUGUAAACAAUGCUCGUUAGGUGUGGCACCCACUACGAGUGGGUGCUGUGCCGUAGGGAAGCCGCUAAACGAGCCGCCUGGGAAGUACGUCCGCAAGGAUGAAACUUAAAGGAAUUGGCGGGGGAGCACUACAACCGGAGGAGCCUGCGGUUUAAUUGGACUCAACGCCGGACAUCUCACCAGCCCCGACAUCAGUAAUGACAGUCAUGUUGACGACAUCCACUCGACGCUGAUGAGAGGAGGUGCAUGGCCGCCGUCAGCUCGUACCGUGAGGCAUCCUGUUAAGUCAGGCAACGAGCGAGAUCCACGUUCCUAAUUGCCAGCACCAUCGCACGAUGGGUGGGUACAUUAGGAAGACUGCCAGUGCUAAACUGGAGGAAGGAAUGGGCAACGGUAGGUCAGUAUGCCCCGAAUGGGCUGGGCAACACGCGGGCUACAAUGGUCAGGACAACGGGUUCCAACACUGAGAAGUGACGGUAAUCUCGCAAACCUGGUCGUAGUUCGGAUUGCGGGCUGAAACUCGCCCGCAUGAAGCUGGAUUCGGUAGUAAUCGCGUGUCAGCAGCGCGCGGUGAAUACGUCCCUGCUCCUUGCACACACCGCCCGUCAAAGCACCCGAGUGAGGUCCGGAUGAAGCUGUCACCAGGGUUGAAUCUNGGCUUCGCAAGGGGGCUUAAGUCGUAACAAGGUAACC
rnacentral:rRNA from 1 species